AAAGGUGCUUGCAUCUUGAUUUAAUUUUGAACGAGUGGCGGACGGGUGAGUAACACGUGGGUAACCUGCCCUUAAGUGGGGGAUAACAUUUGGAAACAGAUGCUAAUACCGCAUAAAUCCAAGAACCGCAUGGUUCUUGGCUGAAAGAUGGCGUAAGCUAUCGCUUUUGGAUGGACCCGCGGCGUAUUAGCUAGUUGGUGAGGUAACGGCUCACCAAGGCAAUGAUACGUAGCCGAACUGAGAGGUUGAUCGGCCACAUUGGGACUGAGACACGGCCCAAACUCCUACGGGAGGCAGCAGUAGGGAAUCUUCCACAAUGGACGCAAGUCUGAUGGAGCAACGCCGCGUGAGUGAAGAAGGCUUUCGGGUCGUAAAACUCUGUUGUUGGAGAAGAAUGGUCGGCAGAGUAACUGUUGUCGGCGUGACGGUAUCCAACCAGAAAGCCACGGCUAACUACGUGCCAGCAGCCGCGGUAAUACGUAGGUGGCAAGCGUUAUCCGGAUUUAUUGGGCGUAAAGCGAGCGCAGGCGGUUUUUUAAGUCUGAUGUGAAAGCCCUCGGCUUAACCGAGGAAGUGCAUCGGAAACUGGGAAACUUGAGUGCAGAAGAGGACAGUGGAACUCCAUGUGUAGCGGUGAAAUGCGUAGAUAUAUGGAAGAACACCAGUGGCGAAGGCGGCUGUCUGGUCUGUAACUGACGCUGAGGCUCGAAAGCAUGGGUAGCGAACAGGAUUAGAUACCCUGGUAGUCCAUGCCGUAAACGAUGAAUGCUAGGUGUUGGAGGGUUUCCGCCCUUCAGUGCCGCAGCUAACGCAUUAAGCAUUCCGCCUGGGGAGUACGACCGCAAGGUUGAAACUCAAAGGAAUUGACGGGGGCCCGCACAAGCGGUGGAGCAUGUGGUUUAAUUCGAAGCAACGCGAAGAACCUUACCAGGUCUUGACAUCUUUUGAUCACCUGAGAGAUCAGGUUUCCCCUUCGGGGGCAAAAUGACAGGUGGUGCAUGGUUGUCGUCAGCUCGUGUCGUGAGAUGUUGGGUUAAGUCCCGCAACGAGCGCAACCCUUAUGACUAGUUGCCAGCAUUUAGUUGGGCACUCUAGUAAGACUGCCGGUGACAAACCGGAGGAAGGUGGGGAUGACGUCAAAUCAUCAUGCCCCUUAUGACCUGGGCUACACACGUGCUACAAUGGAUGGUACAACGAGUUGCGAGACCGCGAGGUCAAGCUAAUCUCUUAAAGCCAUUCUCAGUUCGGACUGUAGGCUGCAACUCGCCUACACGAAGUCGGAAUCGCUAGUAAUCGCGGAUCAGCACGCCGCGGUGAAUACGUUCCCGGGCCUUGUACACACCGCCCGUCACACCAUGAGAGUUUGUAACACCCGAAGCCGGUGGCGUAACCCUUUUAGGGAGCGAGCCGUCUAAGGUGGGACAAAUGAUUAGGGUG
rnacentral:rRNA from 1 species